rnacentral:rRNA from 1 species
AUUGAACGCUGGCGGAAUGCUUUACACAUGCAAGUCGAACGGUAGAGGGGGCAACCCCCUUGAGAGUGGCGAACGGGUGAGUAAUAUAUCGGAACGUGCCCAGUCGUGGGGAUAACGUAGCGAAAGCUACGCUAAUACCGCAUACGAUCUACGGAUGAAAGCGGGGGAUCGCAAGACCUCGCGCGAUUGGAGCGGCCGAUAUCAGAUUAGGUAGUUGGUGGGGUAAAGGCUCACCAAGCCAACGAUCUGUAGCUGGUCUGAGAGGACGACCAGCCACACUGGAACUGAGACACGGUCCAGACUCCUACGGGAGGCAGCAGUGGGGAAUUUUGGACAAUGGACGCAAGUCUGAUCCAGCCAUUCCGCGUGCAGGAUGAAGGCCCUCGGGUUGUAAACUGCUUUUGUACGGAACGAAAGGUUUCUCUUAANACGUAGGAGCUCAUGACGGUACCGUAAGAAUAAGCACCGGCUAACUACGU